rnacentral:rRNA from 1 species
GACGAACGCUGGCGGCGUGCUUAACACAUGCAAGUCGAACGGUGAAGCGAGUGCUUGCACUCGUGGUUCAGUGGCGAACGGGUGAGUAACACGUGAGUAACCUGCCCAUCACUCUGGGAUAAGCACUGGAAACGGUGUCUAAUACUGGAUACGACCAACCCUUGCAUGGGGUGUUGGUGGAAAGAUUUAUCGGUGAUGGAUGGACUCGCGGCCUAUCAGCUUGUUGGCGGGGUAAUGGCCCACCAAGGCGACGACGGGUAGCCGGCCUGAGAGGGUGACCGGCCACACUGGGACUGAGACACGGCCCAGACUCCUACGGGAGGCAGCAGUGGGGAAUAUUGCACAAUGGGCGAAAGCCUGAUGCAGCGACGCCGCGUGAGGGAUGACGGCCUUCGGGUUGUAAACCUCUUUCAGCAGGGAAGAAGCGAAAGUGACGGUACCUGCAGAAGAAGCACCGGCUAACUACGUG